UCUUCCGCUUGGCGUUGCCCUCCGUGCCCGGCGCGUACGGCUCCCGCUCGUUCGUCAGGUACCGCAGGAUGGCCAGUGGUCGAACACCGGAACAGGUUGCCUGAAGGAGGUUGUGGAAUCUCCGUCCUUGGAGCUGCGUUCAAGUCUCAACUGGAUACUAAACAAUCUGAUCCAAACAAACACGAUUUGAAGGAGUUGGACUGAUGUCCUCUGGAGAUCCUUUUUAACUUAAACUGUUUUGUGGGUCUGUGACAGACCUAGGUACUCCAUUUUUUAUGAUAAAUACUUGAUAGAGGAUCAAUUACAUUGCAUUAGGUAAACACAAGGGCUCAUAUUAAUUUCCAUGUUAAUUCAUUCUAUUACAUCUAUGUUUGAGUUGAAUAACGUGCUGUUACACCAGGUUAAGGCCCUGCUUAGAACAGCCUGCUUCACUCGAUGCACAGCUUGUGGGAGGAAUAACCUGUUAAUUCUUUACUCCUUCUCCCCAAAUCAGUUAGAACUCAGAAAUAAACAUCAAGGAAGAGUAAUCAUGAAGCACUUCUGUGCACCACUGCAGUGACACCAGGCAGCCAAAGCCUGCAAACUUCAAAGCAUUAACAAAUACUGACUUAUUAAUUAGUCAUAUCUGCCAAUCAAUUUCUAUAUAUAUCAUUAAUGGUAUUUCAAGCAGAUGGUAGAAGCUCAUCUUGAUUUUCAGCUUCUUAGCUGAAAGCAUUCACAAGGACACAUUCAGGGUAGCAGGUGCUUUCUACAAGACACUGAUGUGAUUUAUCUAAUCACCAGUAGCACAGGUAAAUUUCAGUGUUUCCAGCCUUCAGAUUUAAAUUAUUAAAAAUUCCUUUCCUUGCUAACUACAGGCGAUUUUUCUUCCUCUCUUUCCCCCUCCGGUUUCUGGCUCCUUCCCUUUCAAGUGUGUUAACUAGUUUAAAAGCCUUAAAUUUCAAUCUAAACAUGAGUAGCCCCUAUGGGGUUUUUUAAAUAGCAAAAAGCAGAAUUGUCGGAAGAUCAUGGUGCAAAUUCCAUUAAUAUAACCAUGACAGACCUUUUUUAAAUGGGUUGCAGCCUUCAUCCAGACCUAUAUCUAUUUUAUUAAAACCCAGACAAGGUAUAGCUCAAAAGUAUAGCCCAUAACCCACAGUGCCCACUACAGCCAUUGUUUCUGAAGCCCAAAAGGGCUUCGAAGGAAGUUGAAAUGUGACAACACAGCUGCCUUCUUCUUGAUAGGUGUAGUGAGGUAACAAACCAAGCCCUAAGAGCUAACAGGCAUUAAGAUGUGGCAUCAACAGACAACUAAGUGAUCCAGAAAAUAGUGAAGGUUCCUGUUGUGGUUCUAGUAAGUCAGGAACUUGCCUUGCCAAGGCUAUUGCUGUCCAGCAAACCUGUGGCAAAGUUUGGGCAUGCUGUCUGUACAGUGCAGUUACUUAUGCAAACAGAGGAAUUCCCAUGAGGAAUUUCAAUCCCUCUAGCGGUGGGAGGGUGGAAAAUUACUAAGGGAACCCAUAUCUGCCUCCAGGAAGUUAAAUAUGAACCUAAAUGAGCUUUGACUGUGUACCAGCAGCUCAUCAGCUGUAUUUGGAAGUCAUUCAAUCUUCACAGGCAUCCUUUUCCUGACAACAGCUUCCAGCAAUUAAUCAUUUUGUAACUUCCCAACCCAGAAGUUGCAUCUGAACCUUUGUGUGUAAAUGCCAUGCAGUCUGUGAAACCAUCCAUUCCCUUUUUUAACCUUUUCCUUAUUUGAUUCUCUGGAUCCUGCUACAUGCAUUCCACAACACAGGACCUUUUUAAGUGACUUACAGAUGGUAUUGCUUCACACCUCCUUUAGCUUGUGUCUGAGCUUAGAAACCUCUUUUUAUGUCACUUGUCAUAGAUGCAGAAUAAGCUUAGGCGCUGUUCUGUCCUUAAGGCAUCAGCUCCAUCUCCCCUGCUAGCUUAGCCACUCAGUGAGGAGUGGGGAAACGUGCUAAUACAGCAGAUUGUCUAAGAAACCAAGUGUUUUAUGGCAGGAAGAUGCUUUUCAGUCUGCAAAACCCAGACAUGGUUAUUUCACAGAUUCAUUCCCUUCAGUAUAUCUCACACAGCUGAGCAGACCAUGGCACAAGUAAUGGAAUUCCAUCAGAUGUUUAUUCAGCAUGACCAACAGUUUGGCAAGUUAGCGCUUUCCACCAACACGGGGAGCAGAAACCUUGACUGGUUUCACAAUCUUCUGCUUAGGUGCUGCCUUUGUAGGGGCCUGGAGAGAAAUAAUGAAGUAUGAGCAAAAAGCUGUUUAUUUGCAGUCCUACAUGUAUCCCUAUAUACACUCUUGAUGGAAAUCAGAUCAGAUCAAACUAGAAUUAAAACCUGUAACAUUGGGAUCAUGUUAACAGAUGUUUACACACAUAACACUAAGCCAGCGUAUGGCACUAAUUCAUAAGUGAUAAUGAAACAUGGUAACAUUCAUCAAUAUAUUGUUACCAAGUUCCUAGAUAGUGAAUAUGUCAUGUUCAGACAAAUUUUUAUCAAUUAUAUCUGAUAUUAUGUCAAAAAGUUGUUUAACUGUAAUAUUUACUUAUUCUGUAAAAAAGAUUCAUUCUAUGCAGCUGUUUGGGUAUGUUUAACUUCAGUACAAAAGUCUAGCUGAGGAACUUUCACAUCAAAAAGUUACAAAACUGCUUCCUCAAAACAGAAAUGAGAAUUUCCAAUAAAGUGCCACAGCAGAAUGUUGUGUGUUGUGUUACAGCAUGGUAUAUUCCAUUUCAUAGUUUCUAUUUUCCUAUAGCAUCUCACCUUUGCAGCAGAAACAGCUGUUUUCUUGGUUGCCUGCUUAGCCUUCUUGGCUUCCUUUGCAGCCCUGUUAAUUCACAGAAAAAAAGAGGAAGUUAUCCAUGUCUGCCAUUCACUCUUUCCUUGUCUCAGCGCUGUAAGAGCAUCCCAAGAUCAGGAAUGGAAUGUAUUACUGCAGAUUUCUCCUCCACAUUCACUAUCCCCUGGGGAGAUUUCUACAGAGACAGCAGAACUGUGUAUCACAAGAAUACAAUGGAAGAGUGCACGAAGAGACCCCUCUCUGCUGCUACUAUCUCUUGCCAAGAUUAUUCAGUAUUACAUACAAAUACACAGAUUAAAAGCAAACAAAAAACCCUACAAAAAUCUUAUAGAACACGGAGCUCACCUAGAGCUUAAGCUUUUGUAUGAAAAGUACUGUAAUCAUUGAAAAGCUUGGGAUAGCUCCAGUGAUCUCUAACUUCUCACCUAAUAGCUUGUUCCCUCUGCGCCUUUCGUACUUCGGGCUUCUGGUUUCGCUUGGCCAUAAUCUCAGCUAGAGAGGCACCAGUGAUGGCUCUCUGAAACUUCACUGCACGGCGCGUGCGCUUCUUUUGCACCUCUUCCUAAGAGGGCAGGAGACGAACACAGACAAUUAGCAUCACAAGACAUUAAAUACACGACAGUUACAGAAACAAGCUGCUAUUGAGAUUAAAGCUAUUUAAAACUGUACACCAAAGUAGAAUUUCACUCCUCACUUCAGAGAAUCCUUCUGUUGAGUACACAGAAGUGCUGCCCUACCUCCAUACGGCCCCUUCUCCAGCCACAUCCUGUACUUUCCGUAGUGUGUUAUUACCAACAGUCCUUGGUUGGCUCCCCAGCUAUCCAGUUAUCAGUGUUGGAGACACACACAUUAGCCCCUCUAUCUUCCAGGCUUCUACAGCAAGUAUGAAAAAAAUUAUUUAAAAAUAAUGUCAAAAGUUCAGCCAUCUGUAACUCCCACAAGAAAAAAAGGGAAGGAGAAACCUUUGAUGGUGUCUUCUAAAAGGACGACACUCCACACCUAUUCAAGUGGGAUCAGGUGCUGGGGAGCAGUGUAAGCCAUCAUGCAUUAACUUUCUUUCUUCAACCAAGCUGGCAAGAACGCUGACUUACUGCACUGAUGUAAGCCUUCUCAAAGCUCUUCUGCUGCACACAUUUGAACAAGAGCACUGGAGAUACCUCAUGCUAUGUGCCUUCAUGAUUUAUUCUUUUCAUGCAGUGAAGCUACAUAGGAAAAGACCUGCUAAGACACAGCCUAACGUUUUCAAGGAGACUAUAUUAAGAGUGUCAUCACUGCUCCCCUAACCCUGGAAUCAGCUCCCUAUGUUGUCACUAUUCAGGAAGUUUACAAGACCAAACUUUUAGGAAAUCUGCUUAUUAAACAGCAUUACCCACCUUCCCCAAAACUAACUUUUAAAAACAUAUGCCAUUCCUACAAUUAUUAAGAUCUACUGAACCUACUGUGGCUCUGAGUGGUCCUUUAAAGAAGUGCUACCACACCAAUGCAAUGGUUUUGUUGAAGUGGUGUAUAAACUCACGUAAUUACGCUCACAUUUUCACCAUUAUUGACCAGUCUUCAACCUGGUGACCUGGGUCAUGCUUCUGCUGAACACUGGCAAGCUCAAGUGACCUCUAACAGACCAGUAACCACAUCUUUUGGUCACCAACUUACAGUGCCAUUAGCUGGUAUGUACUUACUGACUGUCCUUUCUUGUGCUUACGCCUGUACAGAACAGUCCAGUUGAUCUGACGGGGGUUUCUCUUGGAAAGGAAUGCAGA